ACGUUCGGCCGCCGCGGCGGGUCAGGCGUGAUGCCGUGAGCCGAGCCGGACUAAACUCCUUCGUUCACACGAGACUUCAGGCUUGACGACUUGGAGAACAGUUGAGGUCGUUUGAUCGUCUCGGAAGAUAGUGGUUUAUUUUCCCAACACUACAGCGAUGCCGUCGAUGACCCUACCAGUCUACCUCUCCACUACGCCGGCCUCAGUUUCGGCACAAGGGCUGACUACGCGGUGUGACGACCAUAGAAGAGUCAACCACCACCGGAACGAAAGACCCACGAAAGGGCGGAAGUGAUACCAGGUUCCUAUUGCCAAGGUUCCUCAGAGUCCACCCGUAGGACACCUCGCUACCCGUGCUCGCGCUGCCGUCGGUACGAACACGCCGAGAAGUCGGGCCUCACACUUGGUGUCUUGUAUCGUCGAAAGCUGUCUGGACUUAUGUUCGGACGUAUCACAGUACCUUUAGGUCCCGGUCCAGACGGUUCGGGAUACGCUCAAACGACUAAGCCGGGAACCACUACGGAAUGUUCUACAAAUACGUAUUUACAUGGAGGGGACUUUAACCUGUGGAGAUACAAAGGAUGUGAGACCGGCGGCAGUAAAAGAAGACUUUGAUCCUCGAAAAACGUAGUUUAGACCUCGACCAUGGAAAACGUAGUUUAAACCAAAGGUUUCACCCCAUCACUACAUAACGACCUGUGUAAAACUCACUACUAUUCAACGUGAGUCAAUUGGAUUACUGAAGGCACUCUAUGUAUUUGUAUGAUGCUAAACUGGGCUACUACACGCCAUUAUUAUCC
rnacentral:rRNA from 1 species